GACGAGGGGUCCUAGCGUUGUUCGGAAUCAUUGGGCGUAAAGCGUGUGUAGGCGGCCUUGUAAGUCAGUUGUGAAAGCCCCGGGCUCAACCCGGGAAGUGCUUCUGAUACUGCUUGGCUUGAGUACUGGAGAGGAUAGUGGAAUUCCAGGUGUAGUGGUGAAAUACGUAGAUAUCUGGAGGAAUACCGGUGGCGAAGGCGGCAUCCUGGACCGACAUUGACGCUGAGGAGCGAAAGCCAGGGGAGCAAACGGG
rnacentral:rRNA from 1 species